UCGAGGAUCUUCGGCAAUGGGCGCAAGCCUGACCGAGCGAGGCCGCGUGGGCGAUGAAGGCCUUCGGGUUGUAAAGCCCUGUCGAGGGGGAGAAAAGCCGAAAGGCGUGAUCUAUCCCUGGAGGAAGCACGGGCUAAGUUCGUGCCAGCAGCCGCGGUAAGACGAACCGUGCGAACGUUGUUCGGAAUCACUGGGCUUAAAGGGCGCGUAGGCGGGCUAUCAAGUCCGGGGUGAAAUCCUCCAGCUUAACUGGAGAACGGCCUCGGAUACUGAUGGUCUCGAGGAGGAUAGGGGCACACGGAACUGUGGGUGGAGCGGUGAAAUGCGUUGAUAUCCAUAGGAACUCCGGUGGCGAAAGCGGUGUGCUGGAUCCUUUCUGACGCUGAGGCGCGAAAGCCAGGGGAGCAAACGG
rnacentral:rRNA from 1 species